rnacentral:rRNA from 1 species
CCUACGGGAGGCAGCAGUGAGGAAUAUUGGUCAAUGGACGAGAGUCUGAACCAGCGAAGUAGCGUGAAGGAUGACUGCCCUAUGGGUUGUAAACUUCUUUUAUAAAGGAAUAAAACGAGGCACGUGUGCCUUUUUGCAUGUACUUUAUGAAUAAGGAUCGGCUAACUCCGUGCCAGCAGCCGCGGUAAUACGGAGGAUCCGAGCGUUAUCCGGAUUUAUUGGGUUUAAAGGGAGCGUAGAUGGGUUGUUAAGUCAGUUGUGAAAGUUUGCGGCUCAACCGUAAAAUUGCAAUUGAUACUGGCAGUCGUGAGUACAGUUGAGGUAGGCGGAAUUCGUGGUGUAGCGGUGAAAUGCGUAGAUAUCACGAAGAACCCCGAUUGCGAAGGCAGCUUACUAAACUGUGACUGACAUUGAUGCUCGAAAGUGUGGGUAUCAAACAGGAUUAGAUACCCCAGUAGUC